rnacentral:rRNA from 1 species
GACGAACGCUGGCGGCGUGCUUAACACAUGCAAGUCGAACGGAGUGGCGAACGGGUGAGUAACACGUGGGUGAUCUGCCCUGCACUUCGGGAUAAGCCUGGGAAACUGGGUCUAAUACAGGAGAGUGUAGGAUGAGCUCGCGGCCUAUCAGCUUGUUGGUGGGGUAAUGGCAUACCAAGGCGGCGACGGGUAGCCGGCCUGUGAGGGUGGACGGCGACAUUGGGCCCUAGAGAAGGCCGCAAUGCCGACUUGUGGCAGCAGGGCGGAAUAUUGCACAAUGGGCGCAAGCCUGAUGCAGAGAGGCUGCGUGGGGUAUGACGGCCUUCGUGUUGUAAACUCCUGUCGCUAGGGACGCGGUACCUAGAUAAGAAGCACCGGCUAACUACGUGCCAGCAGCCGCGGUAAUAC